CAAUAGCGUAUAUUAAAGUUGUUGCGGUUAAAAAGCUCGUAGUUGGAUUUCUGCCGAGGACGACCGGUCCGCCCUCUGGGUGUGUAUCUGGUUUGGCCUGGGCAUCUUCUUGGAGAACGUAGCUGCACUUGACUGUGUGGUGCGGUGUCCAGGACUUUUACUUUGAGGAAAUUAGAGUGUUUCAAGCAGGCACACGCCUUGAAUACAUUAGCAUGGAAUAAUAAGAUAGGACCUCGGUUCUAUUUUGUUGGUUUCUAGAGCUGAGGUAAUGAUUAAUAGGGAUAGUUGGGGGCAUUCGUAUUUAACUGUCAGAGGUGAAAUUCUUGGAUUUGUUAAAGACGGACUACUGCGAAGGCAUUUGCCAAGGAUGUUUUCAUUGA
rnacentral:rRNA from 1 species